GACGAACGCUGGCGGCGUGCCUAAUACAUGCAAGUAGAACGCUGAAGAGAGGAGCUUGCUCUUCUUGGAUGAGUUGCGAACGGGUGAGUAACGCGUAGGUAACCUGCCUUGUAGCGGGGGAUAACUAUUGGAAACGAUAGCUAAUACCGCAUAACAAUGGAUGACACAUGUCAUUUAUUUGAAAGGGGCAAUUGCUCCACUACAAGAUGGACCUGCGUUGUAUUAGCUAGUAGGUGAGGUAACGGCUCACCUAGGCGACGAUACAUAGCCGACCUGAGAGGGUGAUCGGCCACACUGGGACUGAGACACGGCCCAGACUCCUACGGGAGGCAGCAGUAGGGAAUCUUCGGCAAUGGGGGCAACCCUGACCGAGCAACGCCGCGUGAGUGAAGAAGGUUUUCGGAUCGUAAAGCUCUGUAGUAAGUCAAGAACGAGUGUGAGAGUGGAAAGUUCACACUGUGACGGUAGCUUACCAGAAAGGGACGGCUAACUACGUG
rnacentral:rRNA from 1 species